GGCCAACUGCAUAGCUCAGUCGGUACAGCAAGCGAGACUAAAUCUCAGGGUCAUGGGUUUGAACCCCACGUUGGGCA